ensembl:processed_transcript
GCGGCUGCUGUCCCGUCACCCUCACUGGGUGCCAAGGCUCUGGGAAUGGUGUGGGGGAUGCCCAAGGCUUGGCCUCAGGCUGUGGGGGAGCAGAGGAGGAGCUGGAAGAGCAGCUUACAACAGCUGUGGGGAGGGACCAGGCCAGUUCACACUUGGAAGCUGGGAUGCCAGGACCAGCCCUCCUGCCUCCCUCCGUCUCCCUCAGCCUCUCUUGGCCUCCCUCGGCCUCCCGGCCAGCUCACUCCACACUGAGAUGACUUUAUGAAGAUGAGGCCCCCGAUUCUGUUAGCUGCCCUCCUCUGGCUCCCUGGCUUUCUGGCCCAGGAAGAUGUCUGCUCAUCCUUGGACGGGAGCCCAGACGGGCAGGGUGGAGGUCCACCUCUGAGUGUGAACGUCAGCAGCCGUGGAAAGCCUACCAGCCUGU